rnacentral:rRNA from 1 species
GACAGAGGGUGCAAACGUUGUUCGGAAUUACUGGGCGUAAAGCGCGUGUAGGCUGCUCGGAAAGUCGGAUGUGAAAGCCCUGGGCUUAACCUAGGAAGUGCAUUCGAAACUUCCGAGCUGGAGUUCUGGAGAGGAAGGCGGAAUUCUCGGUGUAGAGGUGAAAUUCGUAGAUAUCGAGAGGAACACCGGUGGCGAAGGCGGCCUA